GGAGGCAGCAGUGGGGAAUUUUGGACAAUGGGGGCAACCCUGAUCCAGCAAUGCCGCGUGUGUGAAGAAGGCCUUCGGGUUGUAAAGCACUUUUGUCCGGAAAGAAAACUUCGUCCCUAAUACGGGUGGAGGAUGACGGUACCGGAAGAAUAAGCACCGGCUAACUACGUGCCAGCAGCCGCGGUAAUACGUAGGGUGCGAGCGUUAAUCGGAAUUACUGGGCGUAAAGCGUGCGCAGGCGGUUCGCUAAGACCGAUGUGAAAUCCCCGGGCUUAACCUGGGAACUGCAUUGGUGACUGGCGGGCUAGAGUAUGGCAGAGGGGGGUAGAAUUCCACGUGUAGCAGUGAAAUGCGUAGAGAUGUGGAGGAAUACCGAUGGCGAAGGCAGCCCCCUGGGCCAAUACUGACGCUCAUGCACGAAAGCGUGGGGAGCAAACAGGAUUAGAUACCCUGGUAGUCCACGCCCUAAACGAUGUCAACUAGUUGUCGGGUCUUCAUUGACUUGGUAACGUAGCUAACGCGUGAAGUUGACCGCCUGGGGAGUACGGUCGCAAGAUUAAAACUCAAAGGAAUUGACGGGGACCCGCACAAGCGGUGGAUGAUGUGGAUUAAUUCGAUGCAACGCGAAAAACCUUACCUACCCU
rnacentral:rRNA from 1 species